rnacentral:rRNA from 1 species
AUUGAACGCUGGCGGCAGGCCUAACACAUGCAAGUCGAGCGGUAGAGAGAAGCUUGCUUCUCUUGAGAGCGGCGGACGGGUGAGUAAUGCCUAGGAAUCUGCCUGGUAGUGGGGGAUAACGUUCGGAAACGAAAGCUAAUACCGCAUACGCCCGAGAGGGGAAAGAUUUAUCGCUAUAAGAUUAGCCCGCGUGAGAUUAGGUAGUUGGUGGGGUAAUGGCCUACCAAGCCUACGAUCUCUAGCUGGUCUGAGAGGAUGAUCAGCCACACUGGAACUGAGACACGGUCCAGACUCCUACGGGAGGCAGCAGUGGGGAAUAUUGGGCAAUGGACGAAAGUCUGACCCAGCCAUGCCGCGUGAAUGAUGAAGGCCUUAGGGUUGUAAAGUUCUUUCGCCGAUGAAGAUAAUGACGGUAGUCGGAGAAGAAGCCCCCGGCUAACUUCGUGCCAGCAGCCGCGGUAAUGUGACUACU